rnacentral:rRNA from 1 species
AAUGAACGCUGGCGGCGCGCCUAAUACAUGCAAGUCGAGCGAGAAGACGUAGCAAUACGUUUGUAAAGCGGCGAACGGGUGAGGAAUACAUGGGUAACCUACCCUCGAGUGGGGAAUAACUAGCCGAAAGGUUAGCUAAUACCGCGUACGCUCCUUGGACUUCGGUUCAGGGAGGAAAGCGAUACCGUGGGUAUCGCGCUCUUGGUUGGGCUCAUGUCCUAUCAGCUUGUUGGUGAGGUAACGGCUCACCAAGGCUUCGACGGGUAGCUGGUCUGAGAGGACGAUCAGCCACACUGGCACUGCGACACGGGCCAGGCUCCUACGGGAGGCAGCAGUAAGGAAUAUUGCGCAAUGGGCGAAAGCCUGACGCAGCGACGCCGCGGUGGGGGA